CUGGAGACACACUAUCACACAUACACAACACAGCUGGAGACACACUAUCACACAUACACAACACAGCUGGAGACACACACAUUUUCUAAGCUUCUGAGUUUUUAUCGUGUGUCUUGCUGCUGUACAAAGAGAGAGAGAGAGAGAGGCAGCAAACACCUGACACACCUGCAGCUGGACAAACUCGUCCAUGUCGUUGGUCUCCAGAGAGAGAAACGUGAGCGAGCGGACGGACAGCGGGACGUCGGCCUUCUUCCUGAUGCUCUCCAGCAUCUCCUUCAGGGUCAGAGGGUCGAUCUGACCCUCCCUCACCUGGUGCCACACGUCCUGACCAAUCAGAGCACGACAACACGUCACAGACGUAGACGCAGGGUCCAGAGGCCACGGCGACAGCGGGUAUGCGCGGCUCAUGCAGGUCCAUGAAGAAAGCGACGAGGCCAGCAGGCAGGUCCAGCAGGGUGCUCUCGCUCAUCAGCGCCGUGCCACGGUACACCUU